AUUGAACGCUGGCGGCAUGCCUUACACAUGCAGGUCGAACGGCAGCGCGGGGCAACCUGGCGGCGAGUGGCGAACGGGUGAGUAAUAUAUCGGAACGUACCCUGGAGUGGGGGAUAACGUAGCGAAAGUUACGCUAAUACCGCAUACGAUCUAAGGAUGAAAGUGGGGGAUUCGCAAGAACCUCAUGCUCCUGGAGCGGCCGAUAUCUGAUUAGCUAGUUGGUAGGGUAAAAGCCUACCAAGGCAUCGAUCAGUAGCUGGUCUGAGAGGACGACCAGCCACACUGGAACUGAGACACGGUCCAGACUCCUACGGGAGGCAGCAGUGGGGAAUUUUGGACAAUGGGCGCAAGCCUGAUCCAGCAAUGCCGCGUGAGUGAAGAAGGCCUUCGGGUUGUAAAGCUCUUUUGUCAGGGAAGAAACGGGUUUUUCUAAUACAGAGAUCUAAUGACGGUACCUGAAGAAUAAGCACCGGCUAACUACGUGCCAGCAGCCGCGGUAAUACGUAGGGUGCAAGCGUUAAUCGGAAUUACUGGGCGUAAAGCGUGCGCAGGCGGUUUUGUAAGACUGUCGUGAAAUCCCCGGGCUCAACCUGGGAAUGGCGAUGGUGACUGCAAGGCUAGAGUUUGGCAGAGGGGGGUAGAAUUCCACGUGUAGCAGUGAAAUGCGUAGAUAUGUGGAGGAACACCGAUGGCGAAGGCAGCCCCCUGGGUCAAAACUGACGCUCAUGCACGAAAGCGUGGGGAGCAAACAGGAUUAGAUACCCUGGUAGUCCACGCCCUAAACGAUGUCUACUAGUUGUCGGGUUUUAAUUAACUUGGUAACGCAGCUAACGCGUGAAGUAGACCGCCUGGGGAGUACGGUCGCAAGAUUAAAACUCAAAGGAAUUGACGGGGACCCGCACAAGCGGUGGAUGAUGUGGAUUAAUUCGAUGCAACGCGAAAAACCUUACCUACCCUUGACAUGGCAGAAAUCCUCGAGAGAUUGAGGAGUGCUCGAAAGAGAAUCUGCACACAGGUGCUGCAUGGCUGUCGUCAGCUCGUGUCGUGAGAUGUUGGGUUAAGUCCCGCAACGAGCGCAACCCUUGUCAUUAGUUGCUACGAAAGAGCACUCUAAUGAGACUGCCGGUGACAAACCGGAGGAAAGUGGGGAUGACGUCAAGUCCUCAUGGCCCUUAUGGGUAGGGCUUCACACGUCAUAC
rnacentral:rRNA from 1 species